UGCGCGCAAGGGUCGCCGCCCGGUCUUGGAGAGAUGCGCGCCGCACCUGCCCCGUUCGCGGGGCCGGGGAAGCCGUUCGAGCAGCGUCGUGUCGCGGUCCGGGACUGUCCUCAGUCCCGGGUCGUCUCGGCGCGGUUCCGAGCGGUCGCUCCCUCGCGAGGUGCCGCGGGUCAGCGGCUGACGCCAGCCACCUUCCCGACCCGUCUUGAAACACGGACCAAGGAGUCUAACAUGUGCGCGAGCCGCGGGGCAGUACGAAACCCGUAAGGCGAAAUGAAGGUGAACGCCGGCGCGGUCCGGCGGAGGUUGGAUCCCGUCCCGUCGGGGCGGGCGCACUACCGGCCGAUCUUCUCCGCCCUGUCGGCGAGGUCGAGCGAGAGCGUGCAAGUCGGGACCCGAAAGAUGGUGAACUAUGCCUGAGGAGGUUGAAGCCAGAGGAAACUCUGGUGGAGGACCGUAGCGAUUCUGACGUGCAAAUCGAUCGUCAAAUUUGGGUAUAGGGGCGAAAGACUAAUCGAACCGUCUAGUAGCUGGUUCCCUUCGAAGUUUCCCUCAGGAUAGCUGGCGCUCUGUCGCAGUUUUAUCUGGUAAAGCGAAUGAUUAGAGGUCUUGGGGGCGAAACGCCCUCAACCUAUUCUCAAACUUUAAAUUGGUAAGAAGCCCGACUCG
rnacentral:ncRNA from 1 species